rnacentral:misc_RNA from 1 species
CUUAGUUGAGUUGAGUUGAGUUGUCAUGUUUGGGGAAUUCUUGUGUUAAAAAUUAGCCCAUAGAGUUCUGUAUUAUUUGUCAAAUGCAGAUGGUUAUUAUCAGAUAGAAUUGUACUGAAAAUUUAUCAGAAAAAAGCCUUAAUGGGUCCUGUAGAAAAUCAAGAAGGGAAAUGCUUGUUCUGUGCUUGUUGAUGAAGCCAAACCAUGGAGUGCAUUAUCCAAAUUAUUGCUGCAACUUUUCUGUGUGAUAUGGUAGUUUUGUUGUAUAAAUUGCUCUGACCUUAUUAAACACUUAAUUAUGAUUCCACCAAAGCAUGGUAUUAGGCUAUUAGCAAGGCAACUGUGACCAUGAAAAGUCCUUUUUACGUGAAAUUGUUGCUCUGAAUCCUGGAAUCUGAAUCUGUUGGCUUCAAGCACUGGAUGUUACCUGCUCAGGUAAAAGGUACGUACCAGUAAUUGAAACCUGGAUUUUCAGAAGCAAGACAGGCUUCCAUGGGU